AAUUAAAAGGAAAAGUCUCACCUCUCUUAGGACUUAGAAAGGCUGGCAGACCCAGUUAACCCCUGUGGCUGCUCAGCUUGCAAGGACUGCACUAGUGGACAAGAAUUCUGGAAAUGAAAAGUGCAGUAUCGCACUAAAGGAAACCUCAUCCUGUACCUCUAUCAUGACUUAAGGGACACAGGCUGAGAUCAGAAGCAGAGAGUUCAAGAGAAGGCUGUUAAACAAAUAAGAAUUGAAGCUUCUGGUAUCAACCAAAAUGGGGAAAAGAAGGAUGGCCAGGCUUUGCGUUCCUCCCGCCAUAAUUUCUGUAUCACCAAGGGGUUUGUGAGCACCAUCAGAAGAAUUAUUAAGAUGCUCAAGAAAAUAAGCCGUUAAGAAAAUGCAUUUAGGUGUCAUAAAAUGAAAAGGACGUGUUUCUCCUCGCCAGAGGAAUUGCAUGGCGGACAUAAACCGUAAUGUUAUGACUGAAACCCUCCAGCUAAGUGUUUCCUGCCCUGAAAAAACAUGAGGACCCGUAAGUAGAAAGGAGCAGAAAUAGAA